UAACAACGAACUGUGAGAAGUCAGCAGAGGUCAUAGUACCGCAGAGAAAAAAUGCGGAAAGGA
rnacentral:ncRNA from 1 species